UACAAUAUACCACAAAAAUUCUUGGUUAUUACAAGUGCCCUAAAGCCAUUUAGUUUGGGAUUCAUUGGUCCAAAACUCGUUACAUUAGUAGCUCCGAAUAGCCUAAGAGAACGAGACAAGUUAAUCAAGAAGAAAAAGAAAAGAAAAUAUAGAAUGAAAACGAUGAAAAUAUUUGCGAUUCAAAAUGAGAUCAUCUAAAGUCAUGGAAG
rnacentral:lncRNA from 1 species